GAAGCGGCAACAGCUCAAAUUUGAAAUCUGACCCUAUGGGGUCCGAGUUGUAAUUUGCAGAGGGUGUUUCGGGCACGGUGCCGGUUUAAGUCCUUUGGAACAGGGUGUCAUAGAGGGUGAGAACCCCGUAUGUGACCGGUCGCCAAACCUAUGUGAAACCCCUUCGACGAGUCGAGUUGUUUGGGAAUGCAGCUCAAAAUGGGUGGUAAAUUUCAUCUAAAGCUAAAUAUUGGCCAGAGACCGAUAGCGCACAAGUAGAGUGAUCGAAAGAUGAAAAGCACUUUGGAAAGAGAGUCAAACAGCACGUGAAAUUGUUGAAAGGGAAGCGCUUGCGACCAGACCUGCUCGCGGGUGAUCAGCGGUGCUUUUCGCGCCGUGCACUCAUCCGCGAUCAGGCCAGCAUCGGUUCAGGCGGCCGGACAAAGACUCGGAGAAUGUAGCUCCCUCCGGGGAGUGUUAUAGCUCCUUGUGCAAUACGGCCAGCCGGGACCGAGGACCGCGCU
rnacentral:rRNA from 1 species